rnacentral:rRNA from 1 species
GAUGAACGCUGGCGGCGUGCCUAAUACAUGCAAGUCGAGCGAACAGACGAGGAGCUUGCUCCUCUGACGUUAGCGGCGGACGGGUGAGUAACACGUGGAUAACCUACCUAUAAGACUGGGAUAACUUCGGGAAACCGGAGCUAAUACCGGAUAAUAUAUUGAACCGCAUGGUUCAAUAGUGAAAGACGGUUUUGCUGUCACUUAUAGAUGGAUCCGCGCCGCAUUAGCUAGUUGGUAAGGUAACGGCUUACCAAGGCAACGAUGCGUAGCCGACCUGAGAGGGUAAUCGGCCACACUGGAACUGAGACACGGUCCAGACUACUACGGGAGGCAGCAGUAGGGAAUCUUCCGCAAUGGGCGAAAGCCUGACGGAGCAACGCCGCGUGAGUGAUGAAGGACUUCGGAUCGUAAAACUCUGUUAUUAGGGAAGAACAAAUGUGUAAGUAACUAUGCACGUCUUGACGGUACCUAAUCAGAAAGCCACGGCUAACUACGUG